rnacentral:rRNA from 1 species
CGGGGGGGGGGUGGCAGGGCACGGGGGGCCUACGGGAGGCAGCAGUGAGGAAUAUUGGACAAUGGGCGCAAGCCUGAUCCAGCCAUGCCGCGUGCAGGAAGAAGCAUCUAUGGUGUGUAAACUGCUUUUGUACGGGAAGAAACACUCCUUCGUGAAGGAGCUGACGUACCGUAAGAAUUAGUCGUA